GAGGGAAAGGCGAAAAGAACCCCGGCGAGGGGAGUGAAAAAGAACCUGAAACCGUGUACGUACAAGCAGUGGGAGCCCCACCACUAAGCCAGUGGUGAACUCCACAUACGCAUCCUUUGCUGAGGAUGCGGUUAACGGAGCGAAAGCGACGUUCAACCGCAAAAGAAGCAGAGGGGGCUUAGUGGUGGGGUGACUGCGUACCUUUUGUAUAAUGGGUCAGCGACUUAUAUUCUGUAGCAAGGUUAACCGAAUAGGGGAGCCGGAGGGAAACCGAGUCUUAACCGGGCGUUAAGUUGCAGGGUAUAGACCCGAAACC
rnacentral:rRNA from 1 species